AAUGAGUUGCGGGCUUGCGGCGUUGUCGUCUGUAGGCCAAGUCUGAAGACUGAACAAAAUGCAGGUCGGCAUUCUGCACACCGUUUUCAGGCUUUUUCAGGUUUCUGUCCAUUGUUUUUCUAGGACAGUUAUCGUAUAUCGGUGUAAACUGAUUGAAGUGAACAUUUAAACCUGACGUGAUUCCUUGCAUCAGGAUGUAUGUGUAACGCAGGCUUACCAACAAAAGCAAUGCACCCGAUGAAAAUACUGAUAAAAUUGAAAUACACCCAAAAAAACUGACAAUUGUUCUCUAUCUG
rnacentral:lncRNA from 1 species